rnacentral:lncRNA from 1 species
UCUAUAGAUUGAUAGAAGACCAACGUUAGACCAAUGGACUGGCCUUGAUUCAGUUGGGAUCGGACGAUCAUAAAUUAUGUAUGCACGUUAAAAAAAAAAAAGAACACCCCCUCGUCUAGAAACAAAUCUCUGCCCAUAACAUCUCCCUAAUCACUCUCCCGAUAUUUCCGUUGAUUUCAAUCUCUUCCAUCUCGCAUGCAGCGCCCAGAUCCCCUUUUUUCAUGGCCUCGCAUGCACCUGCCUCCUCCUCU